rnacentral:rRNA from 1 species
AUUGAACGCUGGCGGCAGGCCUAACACAUGCAAGUCGAACGAGUGGCGGACGGGUGAGUAAUGUCUGGGAAACUGCCUGAUGGAGGGGGAUAACUACUGGAAACGGUAGCUAAUACCGCAUACCAUCAGAUGGGCCCAGAUGGGAUUAGCUAGUUGGUGGGGUAACGGCUCACAAAGGAGACGAUCCCUAGCUGGUCUGAGAGGAUGACCAGCCACACUGGAACUGUGACCCGGUCCAGACUCCGACGUGAGUCAGCAGUGGGAAAUAUUGCACAAUGGGCGCAAGCCUGAUGCAGCCAUGCCGCGUGUAUGAUGAAGGCCUUCGGGUUGUAAAGGACUUUCAGCGGGGAGGCGUUACCCGCAGAAGAAGCACCGGCUAACUCCGUGCCAGCAGCCGCGGUAAUUC